rnacentral:rRNA from 1 species
AACGCGAAGAACCUUACCCGGGCUCAAACGACAGCGGACAGCUCCUGAAAGGGAGUCUCCGGCAACGGCCGCUGUCGAGGUGCUGCAUGGUUGUCGUCAGCUCGUGCCGUGAGGUGUCGGCUUAAGUACCAUAACGAGCGCAACCCCCAUCUCCAGUUGCCACCGGGUCGUGCCGGGCACUCUGGAGGGACUGCCAGCGCAAGCUGCGAGGAAGGCGGGGAUGACGUCAAAUCAGCACGGCCCUUACGUCCGGGGCGACACACGUGUUACAAUGGCGGAGAACAGAGGGGAGCCACGUGGCGACACGGAGCCGAUCCCUAAAAUCCGUCUCAGUUCGGAUUGGAGUCUGCAACCCGACUCCAUGAAGCUGGAUUCGCUAGUAAUCGCGCAUCAGCCAUGGCGCGGUGAAUACGUUCCCGGGUCUUGUACACACGC